UACGGGGGGAGCAAGCGUUGUUCGGAUUUACUGGGCGUAAAGGGCGCGUAGGCGGCCUCCGCAAGUCGACUGUGAAAUCUCCGGGCUUAACUCGGAAAGGUCAGCCGAUACUGCGGGGCUAGAGUGCAGAAGGGGCAACUGGAAUUCUCGGUGUAGCGGUGAAAUGCGUAGAUAUCGAGAGGAACACCUGCGGCGAAGGCGGGUUGCUGGGCUGACACUGACGCUGAGGCGCGAAAGCUAGGGGAGCGAACGGG
rnacentral:rRNA from 1 species